CCUUUAGAUGUCCUGGGCUGCACGCGCGCUACACUGAUGUGUCCAGUAAGCACCUAACCUCUUCCGAAAGGAACGGGUAACCUUUGCAAAGCACAUCGUGAUGGGGAUAGAUUAUUGCAAUUAUUAGUCUUGAACGAGGAAUUCCUAGUAAGCACAAGUCAUCAGCUUGUGUUGAUUACGUCCCUGCCCUUUGUACACACCGCCCGUCGCUCCUACCGAUUGAAUGUUCCGGUGAGCUCUUCGGACUGCGCGGUCUGCAGUUUCUGCGUUCCGUGCGGAAAGUUGCGCAAACCUUAACAUUUAGAGGAAGGAGAAGUCGUAACA
rnacentral:rRNA from 1 species